rnacentral:rRNA from 1 species
ACCCUCACUUUUAGUUGCCAUCAUUUAGUUGGGCACUCUGAAAGAACUGCCAGUGAUAAGCUGGAGGAAGGUGGGGAUGACGUCAAGUCCUCAUGGCCCUUACGUGUUGGGCUACACACGUGCUACAAUGGUACUUACAAUGGGAAGCGAAGAGCGACUCUAGGCAAAUCCCAAAAAGGUACCUCAGUUCGGAUUGCACUCUGCAACUCGAGUGCAUGAAGCUGGAAUUGCUAGUAAUCGCGGAUCAGGCCGCCGCGGUGAAUACGUUCCCGGGUCUU